UCGCCACAGAGUUAGUUCUCUGAGUGAGCAAUUUAAAAUAGUCACAACUGGCUUGAGUAGUCUUUUAGCAUUGGUUAGCUUCCCUUUCCCUGCUGAAGAAAAGCAUUUCCAUAGCAUGAUAGUGCCACCACCAUGAUGCCACCACCAUGGGUGUUUUUCAUAUGGACCAAAAUGUUUUAGUGUAAUCUGACCAGAGAAUAAAUUACCCAAAGGUGAACUCCUUUUAGGCAACUCCUGAAAGCAGCUUUUUGCAAUGGAAUUUAACAAGAGGUAUCAGACUAAUGGGAGGAGAAAACAAACGCAGAACUCACCUUUCAUAUUUGUUUUUAGAAGCUUCCUUCUACUUUGCAGUUAUGCGUAGAUAUAAGCACCCACAGUAUGUUACUACUACCACCAUGCUUUACUGAUUUGUUUUUGUAAAACCUCUGAUUCACUAUGGGAUGGAUAUUGUGUAUUUACUAAUUAAUGCUGACAGAGAGUAAGAAAGUGACAUAGACAUGUGGCUCUUUCUAUAUGUCACACACAUACCCACAUGCAGUCUAAUGGGCCUUACCUUAUAAUGAUUACAAAGUAAUGGAAAAAUUGUAUUGAACUGACUGAAUACGAGUAUGUUUAUGCUGUGUGUAAGUAAGGCUGCCAUACACAUAACAUGCAGAUAAUGUACUGCAAAGAAGACACACAGUGUAAACAGUGACCCCUCCUCUCUAUGCACAUUUAGCAGGGAUGUAUUGGAAAAGGAAGAGAUAGCAGACAGCCUAUCGCUGCCGUGAAUGUGUCAGUUUACAUGUCCCGACAUCCUCACUCCAACUCACUCCCACUUUAAUCUACUGUGCUCCUGACCUACUGCUGUUCUGUCACCCUGACAUGUUUAACAAAUACUGUCUGGUCUGAGCAGGAUACACUGCGGCAUUACAGAGGUGUUGUUGUCUGUCUGCAAAGAGAGUGAUAGAUUAUGUAGGAUUCAGCCAUCCUCAGACUCCUUCAAACUUCAAACACCCCUGCGCAUUUCUUCCCUCUAAUGACUUCCUUCCCCCAGCAACAAACCCCAGAAAGACUGUACACAGCACCCUUCAAUCAUUCAACACAAAAGCAACAAAACACGCCUCUGUAAAUAUUUCAGUGGCCUCAGUACAGUCCUGCUACUCGCUGUCUUCUGGUCCUUGGAGGGAGCCAUUGUGCACCCCACUGUAGACUGUUUUGUGUUGGACUGCUGGACAUGGCUGGUCUGUUGUGGAAAGGCAGCAGUGCCUGCAUGCAUGCAGCAGCAGAGGACAGGAUUUGUGCUGAUGUUUCUCUGUGUGUAACUGGCUGCCAGGUAUGCUCUGCUGCAUUGGCACAGAACACACAUUUACAUCAUUUGAUUUUGAUUACAACUGGCUGAAGAAAAUAUAGUAAAGAUUGUUCAAUAUAGUAUUUGAAGAAAUACAAGAAAAUAUAUUUGUCGGUAUUUCAUGUAUUUUAUUUUGUCCCUUAUUAUUAGCUGCAACAUGGAAUCUCUCAGUAAAAUGACUUGGGUAUAUAUUUUACUGAGUUUUUACAGAAGUAACUCCUGUUUACAUGCUAUGAUCCUUGCUGUUGUAAAUGAGAAUCGUGUUUUAGAAUGGUUUUGCCCUUGGUAUGGACACAUCCCUUUGCGCUGCCCAGUGAAAGUCUUUAAGGAGCCUUUUUCAAUAAGAGUAAUGUCCCCCCUGUGUAUGGUCACCAUUCAACAAUUUAUGGGCAGAUUACAGUUUCUAAUAAAAUUUUUGCAACCUUAAUUAAAGAAUCUCCCUUCCUCUUACUUUAUGAUAGUUAGGGUACCCCCUUCCCCUACCACCACUGCUGUCCAAUCUAAUUAUUCUGAUGUACAUAAUUAGCAUGAGCUGGCCAUUGUUCACCGCAUUUGCAUAUUAUAUUGGAUAAUUGAAUGAGAGUGGCCGAUGAUUAAAUUAGGGUGAAUGACAGAUGAUCCAGCUCGCAGUGUGGAAAAGUUAACAGAAUGAGCAGACUGGGAAUACGGCGUGUAUCUCCUGAAUAUUUAUACGUCCCACAGAGCCCCCCUCCCAACAAUCUGCUAAUUUAAAAAAUGUGCAGCAGCUAAAUUCUGGUGAAUCCCAGCCAGAAGAUGGUACUUCUUUAUCUUCAACUGCAUGUUCCUGGUCACUGCACUUUAAAAGGGAAUAUUCUGAGCCCAUAAUAGACACUUUUUUGUCAGAUGUCCUCUAUAAACCAGGCGGCACAUUUAUACGCUGAUAAGACAAAUGAGACUAGUGUGGAGAAAUUCAUUUCCAGGCACUUCCAAUAUAA